rnacentral:rRNA from 1 species
CCAAUAGCGUAUAUUAAAGUUGUUGCAGUUAAAAAGCUCGUAGUUGAAUUUCGGGAUUAGUAGGUUGGUCGUGCCUUUGGUAUGUACUGGCUUUACUGGUUCCUCCUUCUUGAAGAACUGUAAUGUCAUUAAUUUGGUGUUGCAGGGACACAGGACUGUUACUUUGAAAAAAUUAGAGUGUUUAAAGCAGGCUAACGCCUGAAUACAUUAGCAUGGAAUAAUGAAAUAGGACGUUUAAUCCUAUUUUGUUGGUUUCUAGGAUUGACGUAAUGAUUAAUAGGGAUAGUUGGGGGCAUUAGUAUUCAAUUGUCAGAGGUGAAAUUCUUGGAUUUAUUGAAGACUAACUACUGCGAAAGCAUUUGCCAAGGAUGUUUUCAUUAAUCAAGAACGAAAGUUAGGGGAUCGAAGACGAUCAGAUACCGUCGUAGUCUUAACCAUAAACUAUGCCGACUAGGGAUCGGAUGAUGUUAAUUUUUUAAUGACUCAUUCGGCGCCUUACG